UCCUACGGGGGGCAGCAGUAGGGAAUCUUCCACAAUGGGCGAAAGCCUGAUGGAGCAACGCCGCGUGGGUGAAGAAGGUCUUUGGAUCGUAAAGCCCUGUUGUUAGAGAAGAAAGAGCGUGAGAGUAACUGUUCACGUUUCGACGGUAUCUAACCAGAAAGCCACGGCUAACUACGUGCCAGCAGCCGCGGUAAUACGUAGGUGGCAAGCGUUAUCCGGGUUUAUUGGGCGUAAAGGGAACACAGGCGGUCUUUUAAGUCUG
rnacentral:rRNA from 1 species